rnacentral:rRNA from 13 species
CCAGGAGGUUGGCUUGGAAGCAGCCAUUCCUUUAAAGAGUGCGUAAUAGCUCACUAGUCAAGCGACUCGGCGUCGAUAAUAAUCGGGCAUAAGUCCGGUGCCGAAGCUGUGGGAAUGAAAAUUCGGUAGGGGAGCAUUCUAGCCUGCGUCGAAGGUGCCACCGUGAGGGGUGCUGGAGCGGCUAGAAGCGAAACUGUAGGCAUGAGUAACGAUAAGAAGGGUGAAAAACCCUUCCACCGCAAACCCAAGGGUUCCUG